UAGGUCGGAUUAGCUAGUUGGUGAGGUAAUGGCUCACCAAGGCGACGAUCCGUAACUGGUCUGAGAGGAUGAUCCAGUCACACUGGAACUGAGACACGGUCCAGACUCCUACGGGAGGCAGCAGUGGGGAAUAUUGGACAAUGGGCGAAAGCCUGAUCCAGCCAUGCCGCGUGUGUGAAGAAGGUCUUCGGAUUGUAAAGCACUUUAAGUUGGGAGGAAGGGCAGUUACCUAAUACGGAUUGUUUGACGUACCGA
rnacentral:rRNA from 1 species